rnacentral:tRNA from 1 species
GGAGUUGUAACUCAAUGGUAGAGUGCUUGCCUAGUAUGUGUGAGGCACUGAGUUCCAUCCUCAGUACUGCA